rfam:Vigna angularis cultivar Jingnong 6 chromosome 5, whole genome shotgun sequence.
GAUAACUGGCUUGUGGCAGCCAAGCGUUCAUAGCGACGUUGCUUUUUGAUCCUUCGAUGUCGGCUCUUCCUAUCAUUGUGAAGCAGAAUUCACCAAGUGUUGGAUUGUUCACCCACCAAUCAGCUGUCAACACCCAAUUUCGUCCGGAU